GUAGGGAAUAUUGGACAAUGGGGGCAACCCUGAUCCAGCGACGCCGCGUGAGUGAUGAAGGCCUUCGGGUCGUAAAGCUCUGUUGCAGGGGAAGAACACAAUGACGGUACCCUGCUAGAAAGGAUCGGCUAACUUCGUGCCAGCAGCCGCGGUAAGACGAGGGAUCCUAGCGUUGUUCGGAAUUAUUGGGCGUAAAGCGGGUGCAGGUGGCUUGGUAAGUCAGAUGUGAAAGCCUGGGGCUUAACCCCAGAAGUGCAUUUGAUACUGCUGAGCUUGAGUGCUGGAGAGGCUAUUAGAAUUCCUGGUGUAGUGGUGAAAUACGUAGAUAUCAGGAGGAAUACCGGAGGCGAAGGCGGAUAGCUGGCCAGACACUGACACUCAGACCCGAAAGCGUGGGGAUCAAACAGGAUUAGAAACCCCAGUAGUCC
rnacentral:rRNA from 1 species